UACGAAGGGGGCUAGCGUUGUUCGGAAUCACUGGGCGUAAAGCGCACGCAGGCGGAUUGAUAAGUCAGGGGUGAAAUCCCGGGGCUCAGCCUCGGAAUUGCCUUUGAUACUGUCUGUCUUGAGUUCGGGAGAGGUUGGCGGAAUUCCUAGUGUAGAGGUGAAAUUCGUAGAUAUUAGGAAGAACACCAGUGGCGAAGGCGGCCAACUGGCCCGAUACUGACGCUCAUGUGCGGAAAGCGUGGGGAGCAAA
rnacentral:rRNA from 1 species